CCAGACUCCUACGGGAGGCAGCAGUGGGGAAUAUUGCACAAUGGGGGAAACCCUGAUGCAGCGACGCCGCGUGAGUGAAGAAGUAUUUCGGUAUGUAAAGCUCUAUCAGCAGGGAAGAUAAUGACGGUACCUGACUAAGAAGCCCCGGCUAACUACGUGCCAGCAGCCGCGGUAAUACGUAGGGGGCAAGCGUUAUCCGGAUUUACUGGGUGUAAAGGGUGCGUAGGUGGCAGGGCAAGUCAGAUGUGAAAGCCCGGGGCUCAACCCCGGUACUGCAUUUGAAACUGUCCAGCUGGAGUGCAGGAGAGGUAAGCGGAAUUCCUAGUGUAGCGGUGAAAUGCGUAGAUAUUAGGAGGAACACCAGUGGCGAAGGCGGCUUACUGGACUGUAACUGACACUGAGGCACGAAAGCGUGGGGAGCAAACAGGAUUAGAUACCCUCGUAUC
rnacentral:rRNA from 1 species